rnacentral:rRNA from 1 species
AUUGAACGCUGGCGGCAGGCCUAACACAUGCAAGUCGAGCGAGCGGCGGACGGGUGAGUAACGUCUGGGAAACUGCCUGAUGGAGGGGGUUAACUACUGGAAACGGUAGCUAAUACCGCAUACCAUCAGAUUUGCCCAGAUGGGAUUAGCUAGUAGGUGGGGUAAUGGCUCACCUGGGCGACGAUCCCUAGCUGGUCGGAGAGGAGGACCGGCAACACGGGAACUGAGACACGGUCCAGACUCCUACGGGGGGCACCAGAGGGGAAUAUUGCACAAUGGGCGCAAGCCUGAUGCAGCCAUGCGGCGUGGGUGAAGAGGGCCUUCGGGUUGUAAGGCACGUUCAGCGAGGAGGCGUUACUCGCAGAAGAAGCACCGGCUAACUCCGUGCCAGCAGCCGCGGUAAUUC